rnacentral:tRNA from 1 species
GGUCGCAGGCUUAAUUGGCAAAUCACUCGCCUACAGAGCGAGCGAUUCCUGGUUCGAUCACUCAAGUCGCUGCAGCUCAGAGCGCCAGGCGAACAUGCGCCAU